UCAAGCAACUAAGAUAAUUCGACGAAAUUGGUGGCUUCGAUGUCCUUGCCACGACGCACCCACCCAACCUUGGGUGCCCCAAGAAAGAUGUGGGAGGCACACCCCAUCUCCGGCAGACCGGAGUCUAUUCCUGGUGGAUUAGGAUCGGCUCAUCUCCCCGCCCAAGAAACUUUAAGGCCGAUCUCAGACCGUCGCCCAGAUGCGAAGCGGUCAAAGCGGAAACAACCGAAAGGGAAAUUUUUAGACGCUUAAAGUUCAAAGUGUCAGGCAAAGUCGCCGCACGGCACCAAAUUGGAGGCGUUUGCCAACCGGGUCGCCUAAUCCUGAGGAGCUCCAAGGGAAAAGAAGGGACGUGCUGAUAAGAUAUUGUUGGACGCGCGGCUAGGGUUCGGGCUUGAGCCUCUAAUUUUAGAUUAGAUUUCACAAGUUCAACGGCGGAUGUGUUGAAACUGCAGCCCGAAUGGAAAAACGCUAGCGGCGAAAACCAGCGCGAGUCCGCACGGAGCCAAUUGGUCCGGAGGGUAGCGCAGCGUAGCCGGAGGCAGUGCGUCGGUGGACUUGGAGAUGACCACGUGGCCAGCGCGGGCAUUCGUUCCCGGAACGGACUCACCGAGGGAAUCUCCGUAUCUGGCCGUCUUGGCGGCAGUCGCUGUAGCUGCUGGCGCUUGAGGCUGCUGCUGCUGCUACUGAUCGCUGCUGCUGCGGCUGAUGUUG